AUACGGAGGAUGCAAGCGUUAUCCGGAUUUAUUGGGUUUAAAGGGUGCGUAGGCGGAUGAUUAAGCGUGAGGUGAAAUGCCACUGCUCAACAGUGGAACUGCCUCGCGAACUGGUUGUCUUGAAUGCUCCUGCCGUGGGAGGAAUGUGUGGUGUAGCGGUGAAAUGCAUAGAGAUCACACAGAACACCGAUUGCGAAGGCAUCUCACGAAGGGGUGAUUGACGCUGAGGCACCAAAGCGUGGGGAUCAAACAGGAUUAGAUACCCUGGUAGUCCACGCAGUAAACGAUGAUAACUAACCGCUGGGUCGUAGUGAUUCAGUGGCCAAGCGAAAGCGAUAAGUUAUCCACCUGGGGAGUACGACCGCAAGGUUGAAACUUAAAGGAAUUGACGGGG
rnacentral:rRNA from 1 species